CAUGAUUGUGUCCCACUUGUUGUUGAUUCUUCACAAAAAAUUACAGUUUUAUAUCUUUAUGUUUGAAGCCUGAAAUGUGGCAAAAGGUCAAAAAGUUCAAGGGGGCCGAAUACUUUCGCAAGGCACUAUAUAUAUAUAUAUAUAUAUAUCUCUGCCUUACUUUUUCUCAAUAGUUGGUUUGAGAUUGAAGUUUUGAAUCUUAAGCAACCUGCCUACAUGUUGUACAGUAGACCAACAUAGCUACUGUACUAGAUGAAAGCUGUGUGCUUGCAUAGCUCGGCAGGGCAUGGGUAAAGCCAGGCCUUGUGGUGCUCAUGUGAGCAGCCUAAAUUCUCACAAAAAAUGUUUGUGAUUCAUUUAUAUCAAGGACCUAGUUAUGGCCACUGUCUUCUUGUCUGAGACCAACAAGAUGAAGUCUCUGUAACACCUCCGGUAACCCCUCCCUUCUCUCCCUUUCCUCCCGUUCCUUCCUUCUCUCCUUCUCCCUUCCACUCCCUUCUCUCCCUUUCCUCCAUUUCCUCCCUGCUAUCCCUUUCCUCUAUUCUCUCCCUUUCAUCCAUUCCCUCCCUUCUCUCCUUUUCCCCUCUUCUCUCCCUUUUCUCCCUUCUCACCCUUCUCUCCAUGUCCUCCCUUCUCUCCCUUUCCUCCCUUCUCACCCUUCUUUCCCUUCUCUCCCUUUCCUCCCUUCUCUCCCAUUUCCUCCCUUCUCUCCCUAAUCUCCAUUUCCCCCCUUCUCUCCCUUUCCUCCCUGAUCUCCUUACUCUCCAUUUCCUCCCGGCUCUCCCUUCUCCCCUUUUCUCCCUUAUCUCCAUUCUCUCCCUUUCCGCCCUUCUCACCCUUCUCUCCCCUUCCUCCCUGCUCUCCCUUUCCUCCCUUUCCUUCCUUCCCUCCCUUCUCUCCUUUCCUCCCUUCUCUCCCUCAUCGUCCCAUUCCUCCCUUUUCUCCCUCAUCUCCCUUUCCUCCCUUCUCUCCCUUUUCUCCCUACUCUCCCUUUCCUACCUUCUCACCCUUCAUGUCCCAUUCCUCCCUUCUCUCCCAUUACUCCCUUCUCUCCCUCAUCUCUCUUCUCUCCCUUCUCUCUCUUUCCUCCCUUCUCUCCCUUCUCUUACUUCUCUCCCUUUCCUUCUCUUCUUACUGGGUUGGCCACCCUCUCGCCAUCUGGUCCUGCCUGUCUUCUUUGCUUGGCUAUCCUCCUCUCCUCUUCUGUUUUCUUGUUCCCCCUGUCCUCCUACACCUCCUCCUCCCGCUUGUCUCGCUCAUGGUCUCCUGUUUAUCUUGACCUCUAGCAGCGUUGUUUCCCUACCUAUUUCUCCUCUUCGAAAGAGCAACACUGUAGCAACAGGAGAGGACUGUGUUCAACACUGUAGCAACAGGAGAGGACCGUGUUCAACACUGUAGCAACAGGAGAGGACAGUGUUCAACACUGUAGCAACAGGAGAGGACAGUGUUCAACACUGUAGCAACAGGAGAGGACAGUGUUCAACACUGUAGCAACAGGAGAGGACAGUGUUCAACACUGUAGCAACAGGAGAGGAGAGUGUUCAACACUGUAGCAACAGGAGAGGACAGUGUUCAACACUGUAGCAACAGGAGAGGACAGUGUUCAACACUGUAGCAACAGGAGAGGACAGUGUUCAACACUGUAGCAACAGGAGAGGACAGCGUUCAACACGGCAGCAACAGGAGAGGACAGUGUUGAAGCAUUGGAACAACAGGAGAGGUCAGUGUUGAAGCAUUGGAACAACAGGAGAGGUCAGUGUUGAAGCAUUGGAACAACAGGAGAGGACAGGGUUGAGGCAUUGGAACAACAGGAGAGGUCAGUGUUGAAGCAUUGGAACAACAGGAGAGGUCAGUGUUGAAGCAUUGGAACAACAGGAGAGGUCAGUGUUGAAGCAUUGGAACAACAGGAGAGGUCAGUGUUGAAGCAUUGGAACAACAGCAGAGGACAGGUUUGAAGCUUUGGAACAACAGGAGAGGACAGCGUUCAACAUGGCAGCAACAGGAGAGGACAGUGUUGAAGCAUUGGAACAACAGGAGAGGACAGGGUUGAGGCAUUGGAACAACAGGAGAGGACAGUGUUGAAGCAUUGGAACAACAGGAGAGGACAGGGUUGAGGCAUUGGAACAACAGGACAGGACAGUGUUGAAGCAUUGGAACAACAGGAGAGGACAGUGUUGAGGCAUUGGAACAACAGGACAGGACAGUGUUGAAGCAUUGGAACAACAGGAGAGGACAGUGUUGAAGCAUUGGAACAACAGGAGAGGACAGUGUUGAGGCAUUGGAACAACAGGACAGGACAGUGUUGAAGCAUUGGAACAACAGGAGAGGACAGUGUUGAAGCAUUGGAACAACAGGAGAGGUCAGUGUUGAAGCAUUGGAACAACAGGAGAGGUCAGUGUUGAAGCAUUGGAACAAUAGGAGAGGACAGGUUUGAGGCAUUGGAACAACAGGAGAGGACAGGGUUGAAGCUUUGAAACAACAGGAGAGGACAGUGUUGAGGCAUUGGAACAACAGGAGAGGACAGUGUUGAAGCAUUGGAACGACAGGAGAGGUCAGUGUUGAAGCAUUGGAACAACAGGAGAGGACAGUGUUGAAGCAUUGGAACAACAGAAGAGGUCAGUGUUGAAGCAUUGGAACAACAGGAGAGGACAGUGUUGAAGCAUUGGAACAACAGGAGAGGACAGGGUUGAAGCAUUGGAACAACAGGAGAGGACAGUGUUGAAGCAUUGGAACAACAGGAGAGGUCAGUGUUGAAGCAUUGGAACAACAGGAGAGGUCAGGGUUGAAGCAUUGGAACAACAGGAGAGGACAGGGUUGAGGCAUUGGAACAACAGGAGAGGACAGGGUUGAAGCAUUGGAACAACAGGAGAGGACAGGGUUGAAGUAUUGGAACAACAGGAGAGGUCAGGGUUAAAGCUUUGGAACAACAGGAGAGGACAGGGUUGAAGCAUUGCUCUCUGUUCAUCUAGUGGUCUCCGUUUGUUUCUUAGGGAAGGUUCUUGUCUUCAAAUAGACAAGUGAAGAUUGCAUCGCUGUUUUCUCUCUAUCUCCUCAGGUGUAAGGGCUUUAGUUCUUUUUUAAAUGGACUAGUCGACCAAGUGGUGCAGUUUUCCCCCAUGUGGACAUCUGUAGUCCUGUGGCUACUUGCCUAGUCUGUACCACGACCACCAGCAAUGGAAAACAGACAGCUUUGUCGUGGAGAGUGUUCUCUUGUGUAAGGUUCUUCAGUCUAUAUCCACAGACAAAUUGAUAUUCUGCUCUGAUCCUAUUGAUUAUGCAUGUCUGGUCUGGGCAACUGCCCUCUCGGAGCAACCCUAAACCUGGAUGGUUAAUGGGCCUAUCACCCCCCCCCCCAAAAACAGUCCAAUCCAACCUCAUCGAUUUCCCACUCAUCAUAUUGUUUAACAUUGUCCGACCAGGGACAAAAGUCUCAAACUCUCAACUCUUUAAAUGGGAACUGUAAAUAAUAUCUUUGUCUCUCUCUGUGACUUCCCUUCUGCACACACCCCCAUCUCCACCCUCAUCCAAUCUGUUCCUUAUUGAUAAGUAACUACUCUGGCUCCAAAAUGUCUGCCACAUUUCACCGGCUCAAACCCUAUGGGACGGGGCAGAAUAAAACUGACGCAGCGCUAACUGAUGCUCCUGUUCUGCCUGGAGUGGAAAGGUAUAUUUAGCAUGUAGCCAUUAGCCAACCUCAUUGAUCUGAACCUGUGAGGGAGAAGGGGUGACCAACGACUCCCCCUCCUUCCCCUCUUUCUGUAUGUAUCAUUGGAUAGCCGGCAGCCACACUAAAUUCUGCCCGGCGACUGUAAUGACUUGAGAAUGAAAUGGAGGUCAGGUGCAGGGAGCCACAGCACAGAACAUCAAGUGGCUGAUCAAUAGUAGCGAUUGGAUUUGCCUGCUCGCAUUAGGCACCACAUCUAAUACGACUGGGCUCGAAGAUGCCCCGGCCAUAUCAUUUAAUUACGCUCCAAUGUGUUACAACCGGCAACGCAAAGGGAUUGAAGAUAAUAUUGAUAUACUAAGGUCCAGAUAACAUGAUCUACAAUUAAAAAAGGUCCGUCACGCAAUUGAUCACACAAAUUGAUUCGAAUCAAUACAAAAGCCCUCAAUAGGAAUGACACAGCACACAUGUCGUAGAAUGCUCUCAACUAAAAUAAAUCUGAUCUGUUUUCAUUUCGUUACACUUUUUUUCUCAAUCCCAGAAUAAUCCAAGUUGGGAUAGACUACAGCAGAGUUAUCCUUCCUCAUAAUUCAAACCAAUAUUCUCUAGUAUUGCCUGAGUGGCUAAAAUCACGUGGUGUAUUAAAAUACAAUAUGCUGCUUCUCCUCCUCCUGCACUAGGCUACAAAACACAAGCACUUUGAGCCCUGCAGCUGGCUAGCACUAAUACCAUUCACACUGUAAUCAGUUCAGUCUUUGAUUAUGCUCCCUAUCCUGUAGAGACACAGCAUCUUGCCCAAAACACA
rnacentral:lncRNA from 1 species